AUGCUGGGGCUCCGGCGAACUCCAGCAACGCAGACGACGAAGGGAGCGAGCGGCGCGAGGCUCCUGCUGGGCGCUCGAGGUGGCGCAGGCACGCUGGAGCCACCGGACAAGAUGCAGGUCACCGGAAGGUUCAGCAGGGGCGCGAUGGCCAUGGAGGUGGGGCGCAACACGGCGGCAGAGCGGCGGCGGCUGCAGGGCGCCGGCGGCGGGGCGCCAUGGCCGCUUGAAGAGGAAGGAGGGCGGCGCGGGUUGGUAGAGGAGGGCGGCUCGCGUCCUCGGGGUUCCCUGCUCGCGAGCACAAGGGCGCAGGAGGAUGGUCGGGGUGCGCGAGGGCAUCGGGUGCAGGCGGGAGAUCGAGAGGAGAGGGAGGGGAUCGUGGGAGAAGGGUGGCUGCGGAAGGGAAGCGAGGAGGAGAUGGGAUCGGGAGAGGAGUCGGGCAGCGGUCUCCCUGGCGGCGCUGGGAGAGAUCGAGAGGGAGAGGGAUGGGCAUCGAGGGAACGGGCUCAGGAAGGCUAG
rnacentral:rRNA from 1 species